rnacentral:rRNA from 1 species
UACAGAGGUCUCAAGCGUUGUUCGGAUUCAUUGGGCGUAAAGGGUGCGUAGGCGGCGCGGUAAGUCGGGUGUGAAAUCUCGGAGCUUAACUCCGAAACUGCAUUCGAUACUGCCGUGAGCUUGAGGACUGGAGAGGAGACUGGAAUUUACGGUGUAGCGGUGAAAUGCGUAGAUAUCGUAAGGAAGACCAGUGGCGAAGGCGGGUCUCUGGACAGUUCCUGACGCUGAGGCACGAAGGUCCAGGGGAGCAAACGGG